rnacentral:rRNA from 1 species
GACGAACGCUGGCGGCGUGCUUAACACAUGCAAGUCGAACGGAAAGGCCCUGCUUUUGUGGGGUGCUCGAGUGGCGAACGGGUGAGUAACACGUGAGUAACCUGCCCUUGACUUUGGGAUAACUUCAGGAAACUGGGGCUAAUACCGGAUAGGAGCUCCUGCUGCAUGGUGGGGGUUGGAAAGUUUCGGCGGUUGGGGAUGGACUCGCGGCUUAUCAGCUUGUUGGUGGGGUAGUGGCUUACCAAGGCUUUGACGGGUAGCCGGCCUGAGAGGGUGACCGGCCACAUUGGGACGGAGAUACGGCCCAGACUCCUACGGGAGGCAGCAGUGGGGAAUAUGGCACAAUGGGCGGAAGCCUGAUGCAGCAACGCCGCGUGCGGGAUGACGGCCUUCGGGUUGUAAACCGCUUUCGCCUGUGACGAAGCGUGAGUGACGGUAAUGGGUAAAGAAGCACCGGCUAACUACGU